UUUAAUAUAGCUCAGUAGGUAGAGCAUGAGACUCUUAGUUUCAGUGUUGUAGGUUUGAGCCCCAAGUUGGGCAAAG